CUGGGGGUGUGCUCGCGCCCGCGCCCGCGCCCGGCGUGUGGGUGGCGGCGCGCUUCUGCGCGCGCGCGCAGGGGAGAGGCCAGCCCCGGCGGCCGUUGUGGGCUUCGACUGGAGGGGCGGGAGGGUCACCUGCGAGCGUCUGCAACGCCCGCCCGCCCGCCCGCGGCGUCCGGAUCGCGCCGGCUGCGCGGGGCCGCUGGCAGCACACCCUCGAAGCUGGGGCGGGGAAGCAAGGAGGGUCCGUGCGCGGCGCCCGGGACGAGGAGAAGUCGGACCUUCGCCGCUGCGGCCGUCCGCGCCCGGCUGGUGCGUUACUGAAGAACUUCAGCGAGGAAAGCCAAGACCGAUCACCAAAAGGCAUGUGUUGUUCCCUUAAGAAUAAGGUCUCAGCUGCGGCAUGCAGGGAGCUUCGGUGCGGCGGUGCAGGCGCAGUAGUUACAGUGCCCAGGCUUUGUUGCUCCACCGCAUGAGAUAUCUUAGUUUGGAUUCUUAGCCACUGGACCGCCAGGCAAGUCCUGAUAUUUGGCUUUUUAAAUGUUACAUUUAGCCAUUCCUUUCUAGGGCUAGAAAUUUAGGUUCUGUUUAUCGCUAUUAGAGUUGAUGCCACAGGGAAGAAUUUGUUUUACAGCCCCCUACUACCACUCCCAAGAGUUUUAUUUUUCAGGAUAAACUUCUGUGGUUAAAAAUUCCAGAAUCAAAGAACUCUGCUCUCUGAAAUAUUACUAUAUCUUAACCUUUAGUCCUUGAUUUUUUCCCACCACGUUUAGUGCGUAUUGUGGCCUUUUGGCACAAGCUGAUUUAGUCUCUGAGACUCGUGGGACGUGUGAAAGCGUGUUGAAAAGGUGCUUUGUGCUCUCUUGUCUCCUUCUCUUGCUUCUCUCCUGCUUUUUAAAUUAGGCGUCCCCCGAAGGUUAGUCCUCUGCCCUCUCCUCUCAUUCACGGCAACAACAGUCAUCUCUUCACAUCUCUUUAUGUCCUGGAGCUUCCUGCUUUUCUUGGUGUUUCUGUUGUCUGAUAGAUGUUUGUAUGAUGGAUACCCUGAAGGUACUUCAAGAUAAGUAUAUCCCAGAAUGAUUUCUUCUCCCUCCUGGAACAAAGCUAGCAUCUGACCUGCCCAAUGGCUUAUGCUUAAACCUUAAAUGCUGUAAAACAAGUUAUCUUACAUUCAGUUUCAAACACAUUCACUUGGUUGCUAAAUCCUUUCUGCCUUACCUCAGUAAUCUCUCUUAUUUCUGGUGUCAAAUUUGUGGCUUAGACUUGUUACCUCUCAUUUAGAGAAUGUUGUAAUAUACCCCUGCUUUUUUCUUUUUUUCCCUUCAGUAUUGCUUCUUUGGUCGUCUCAUCCUGUAUUCUGCCUCUGCGUAUUUAUUAAUAUUCUCCUAGUUAAAAACCGUAGUCUUCCCAUUGCCUGUAUAGUAAAGCCUAAGCUAGUCAGUCUGAUGCUUACUUUUCCUUUGUAUUUUGGCUCUUCACUGUCUUGCCAGAUUUCUACUUUACUGCUAUACUUUCCCCAGACCCUGCUUCUUCCAGCCUGGGCUCAGUUAUUUCCUUAUUUUAUUUGAACACCAUCAUCAUCUUUCUCUCUCCCUCUCCCCUAAAUAGUUUGACUUUUGCUCUAAGGCCUAGCUUGAAUUUCUAGUCAUUUAAGAGUUUCUAAAUAUUCCCCCUGAUCAAAGUUACUAUACCAUCAAAGCCAACCAUAAUCUUUGGCCUGAGGUUUCAUCACUCUUUUUAUUUUUUUAAUUAAAAAAAUUUUAUGUUUUGGUUUUUCCUCUGCUCCUUUAGACUUUGAGUGCACAGAUUUGAGGUAAUCAUAUUCCUCAGUUCAUAGCACAUUGUAUGCUACCAAACACUUUCUUAUUUUGUUUCCUUCCUUAUCAGUUUCUCCCAUCAUCCUCUUUCCUUUGGAAACAUACCCUAAUGUGUAACAAUGAAUUACAUAUAUCUGUGUAUGUAAGCUUGGUGACUAUCUUUCUUCACAAAAAUUGGGAGUUUUGAGUACCUCUACCUUUGUACAAAGUGAUCAGUAAAUGUUUUUUUACUUGAAAUUCAUUGAAAAUUACUGAUUUUACUAGCUUCCAUAUUGCUUACACUAAGAACCCAGGGAUUUAAUUUCAGUUUUACUCUUCCACAUUUAAUUAGUUAUGGCAGUCCUGAACCUUACCAGUUUUUCCUUUUCUUGUUGCAAACUUCAGACUCGCCUCAACUUUCCCCUUUUGUAAUUUUUCAACUGGGUCCUGCUUUCAGUCUCUCCCUUCUAAAAUCUUUUCAUUGUUUCCACAGUUAUCUUAGAAGAAUCCAGAUCAAAUCAGGCCACUUAUUCCUGAAGCUUUGAAAAGAACCCUCAGGAAUCAACAAGAUCUCUCACUUGUUUUUCUCCACUAUUUUCCCACUAAAUAACUUUUUCUGCUGAAUAACUCUUAUACUGCGUCUUCUGCAGCUGUACAUGUAAUUUUUUUUUUCCGGGGGAGCGGGGGAUACACUUUAUUUUAAAAAUUAGGAGUCCUCACAGUUCUUCAGAUUUUAAAAGCAAGGUAGUGGAGUACAUGUAACUUUUUUACAACACAUUUUUACUUGUAGGGCUUUAUGCUGUAUCAUUUUUUUGUCUUUUGAAGUUCAACUUUUUUUUUCACAGCCUGUUUCAAGUGUUCAACUGCUACAUUCUUCCUUACCACUUUUUUAAAAUUAUAGUAUUUAUUUCAUUGUGCUUUUUAUUAAAACUUUUUGGAAACACGUCUUAAUUCCCAGUGUCUGGUUCAUUCUUUUUUUCCCUUUAACACAAAGCAUAAAGUCUUGAAUGUAAUGAGAUUGUAACUACUAUUAGGGCUAUAAUGGGUACCAGCUUUAUUUUUCAAAUAUUAUACAAUGAUUUAACAGCUGUCAGCACUGUACAGCUGCCCCUGUACAAAUACUUUCUGACAUGAUGCAGUUUUUUAAUGUGAAAUUUGUUGAUGAAAAUACGCAUACAUCAUCAUUUUUUAUUUGCUAACUAAACAGCUGUGCUUUUUGGCAAGAGAAGAAAUCAUCUUUAUAUAUUAUCAUGAGAUUGAGACUUUAAAAACAGGAUCUGCUAUGCUCAACACUUAGAAUUCAUAAUUAGAUACCAUAGUUAAAUAGACCAGAACAUUUGCUGUAAAUUUAAAAUCUGUGGGCCUAGUGAAGCAUUUGAUGUGUGGGGUGUGGUUCCUGUUUUGUGUGAAAAUUAGUACUAUGAAUGUCAAAAAUGAUGUCUUUGAUUUUUAUAAAACCCAAGAUUGAGAAGUUGCUGCCACUUUUAACUGCUCAGUGCACAUUGUUGGUAUGUAUAUGCAAGCAAUUUUGUAGGCGCUGUUGGGAAUACAAAGUUGUAGGAAAUGAUGUUCUUUUUUUUCAGGAACCUCCAAGUCUGUUGAAAUUAAGCAGACAUAGACAUUUUUAUAAAAUUUAAUAGAAUUGUAAGUGCCAUAAAAUGGUACAGGUGAAACACCACGUGGCAGUGAGGUUACUGAAUUGACUGAAUAGAUUUCAGAGUAGCAGGUGGAGGGGAGGAAGCCCAGAGCAUAUCCUGGGAAUAUCCUGGUUUGGUUAUAAGAGAACUUACAGAAAGAGGCAAAACUGAAAAGAUAGGCAGGCUGGGGCUUGACUUAAGGGCUUUACAUACUAGAUUAAGGAUUUUGGAUUUGAUUUAGUUGACCAGGGAACCUUUGGUUGUUGAAUAGAGAGUUACCUGAUCAUAGCUGUAGUUAAAGAAUAUUAAUGUUGUCUUCUGUGAUGUGGUUUAAAUGCAAGUUGAAGACUUGUUUUUGCUUGAGGUCGUAUUCUUCCCCUCUCUAAAGACCUUUUUUUAAAAAAAUUCAUAAUGUGACCCUUCUGGUUUUCUAAAUUAAUUUUAGAAAAUCUUCAACUGUGGCUUAGUUGUUCUUUAUAUACCAUAGUGAGUUUUUCUAUCAUGCCUAACCUAUUUGAAACUGCCCUUACUGAGAUGCUAAAUUAGUCAUAGCUUUACUUUUCACUUCCUGUUAGUGUUUGAAUAAUUAUUUUGAGCAUAUUUAGUACUUAUUACCAUAUAUUUUAAGUUUCUUGUGUCUUCAGUGGCUUUCCCCAAAUGCAUGGUAAAGUCCGCAUGAAUGGAAUAUUUAUUUCUGAAGGUAGCAAAGUAUAAUGGAAAAACAUGCAUUAAAAAAAAAAUGGUGUCCUACUGGAAAGGAGAGGGAAAAACUUUGUCUUUUCUUAUUGAUGGAAUAAGUACAUUUUACUAAAAUGCCAAAUUUAAUUUGCCACAUGUUCAACUGUUUCUUGCUUUAUUAUCCUAGUAUUUUAUUGAUCGUCUUACCUAGAAUUCCCUGAUUAUUAUUAUUAUACUUACUAAGUUAUAUAACUUUCGAAAGUAAAACCUUUUGCCCUUUUCUUAGGUGUUUAGAAUAAUUGUUCAUUAGACUUAGGUGUAUUAGGAGAGGGAUAGUCUGCUGUAACACUUAGACAUUUGCCCAAGGAGGAUCUACCUCUGAUAGUUGCUACUUUUUGAAAAUAUCUUUUUCCUCCCUGCUUUCCUGUUUGUGUCUUCUUUUCCUUCUACAUUUGCUGUAGUCUGAAUUCAGCAGUAACACAGAUUUAAAAAUGUUGAUUGAUGUUAAGACACAGUCAAAAAUUUGAAAAUAAUUUGUAGGCAAGUAAGACUUGUAGUGGGCUUCCCUGGUGGCUCAGUGGUAAAGAAUCUGCCUGCCAGUGCAGGAGUUGUGGG